rnacentral:rRNA from 1 species
GAUGAACGCUGGCGGCGUGCCUAAUACAUGCAAGUCGAGCGAACGGACGAGAAGCUUGCUUCUCUGAUGUUAGCGGCGGACGGGUGAGUAACACGUGGAUAACCUACCUAUAAGACUGGGAUAACUUCGGGAAACCGGAGCUAAUACCGGAUAAUAUUUUGAACCGCAUGGUUCAAAAGUGAAAGACGGUCUUGCUGUCACUUAUAGAUGGAUCCGCGCUGCAUUAGCUAGUUGGUAAGGUAACGGCUUACCAAGGCAACGAUGCAUAGCCGACCUGAGAGGGUGAUCGGACACACUGGAACUGAGACACGGUCCAGACUCCUACGGGAGGCAGCAGUAGGGAAUCUUCCGCAAUGGGCGAAAGCCUGACGGAGCAACGCCGCGUGAGUGAUGAAGGUCUUCGGAUCGUAAAACUCUGUUAUUAGGGAAGAACAAAUGUGUAAGUAACUGUGCACAUCUUGACGGUACCUAAUCAGAAAGCCACGGCUAACUACGUG